rnacentral:rRNA from 1 species
AGAGUUUGAUCAUGGCUCAGGAUGAACGCUGGCGGCGUGCCUAAUACAUGCAAGUCGAACGAGGCCCUUUGUAUUCGUACGAAGGUGUCCUAGUGGCGAACGGGUGAGUAACACGUUGGUGACCUGCCCCGAAGAGAGGGACAACCCCGGGAAACUGGGGCUAAUACCUCAUGUGCUCCAUGGUGUUAGAGGACCAUGGAGUAAAGGAGCAAUCCGCUUUGGGAGGGGCCUGCGGCCCAUCAGCUAGUUGGUAGGGUAACGGCCUACCAAGGCGACGACGGGUAGGGGGCCUGAGAGGGUGGUCCCCCACAAUGGCACUGAAACACGGGCCAUACGUCUACGGACGGCAGCAGUAGGGAAUAUUGCACAAUGGGCGAAAGCCUGAUGCAGCAACGCCGCGUGCGCGAUGAAGGCCUUCGGGUUGUAAAGCGCUUUUCUGGGGGAAGAGGAAGGACUGUACCCCAGGAAUAAGUCUCGGCUAACUACGUGCCAGCAGCCGCGGUAAAACGUAGGAGGCAAGCGUUAUCCGGAUUUACUGGGCGUAAAGCGCGUGUAGGCGGUAUGGUAAGUCGGACGUGAAAGCUCCUGGCUCAACUGGGAGAGGCCGUUCGAAACUACCAAACUUGAGGGCAGUAGAGGGAGGUGGAAUUCCAGGUGUAGCGGUGAAAUGCGUAGAUAUCUGGAGGAACACCAGUGGCGAAAGCGGCCUCCUGGACUGUCCCUGACGCUCAGACGCGAAAGCUAGGGGAGCGAACGGGAUUAGACACCCCGGUAGUCCUAGCCGUAAACGAUGCAGACUUGGUGUUGGUCGUUUAAAAACGAUCUGUGCCGAAGCUAACGCGUUAAGUCUGCCGCCUGAGGAUUACGACCGCAAAGGUUAAAACUCAAAUGAAUUGACGG